rnacentral:rRNA from 1 species
AUGGCGGCGCCGCCGGCCCACCUCCGCCGCCUCCUGCUGCCGCACCUCCGCCGGAACCGCCUCUUCUCCGCCCUCACCGACACCCCUUCCUCGCCCCCGCCGCCCGCCCCGACCUCAGACGCCAUCCUCUACUCGCUCCGCGGCCUCUCCAAGGACCCGCCGCAGGCGCUCUCCCUCUUCCGGCGCGCGGCGGCCGCGGGCCACCCGCUCGGCCCCGCGGCCUACAACCUCAUGCUGCGCACGCUCGCCUCCACCCCGGACGCCGCGCGGGCCCACUUCUGGCCCUUCCUCCGCGACAUGGACGCCGCCGGCCACUCCGUCGAUCAGGGCACCUACCUCGCCGCCCUCGCCUCCUUCAAGCGCGCCAGCCUCGCCACCGACUACGCCACCCUCUCCGCCCGCCUCGCCAAGUCCCGGGCCGACCACGCCGCCUCCGGCGGCACUCCCGUCACCGCCCUCGCCGACGCCGUCCGCGGGCUCGACCCCGACCAGCCGGGGGCGGACGAGGAGCUCGAGACGAAGCUGGAGGGCGUCGCCGAGCAGCUGCUGCCGCUCACGGAGGCCGCCGUGGCCGGGGUGCUGCGGGAGGCGAGGGACGUCCCCGCCAAGGCGCUCGCUUUCUUCCGGUGGGCCGGCCGGCAGGACGGGUACGAGCACGGGUCCAUCGCCUACAACGCGAUGGCGAGGGUGCUUGGCCGGGAGGAGUCGCAGCGGGAGUUCUGGGAUCUGGUGCAGGAGAUGAAGGCCGGCGAGCUGCACAUCGACAUCGAUACCUACAUGAAGCUGUCCCGGCAGUUCCAGAAGCGCCACAUGAUGACCGAGGCCGUGGAGCUCUACGAGCUCAUGAUGGACGGCCCCUACAAGCCCGCGCAGCAGGACGGGCCGCUGCUCCUCCGGCGCAUCGCCAUGGGGCCAGAGCCUGACCUCGAGCUGGUGUAUCGAGUGGUGAGGAAGUUCGAGGCCGUCUACGAGUUCAAGACAAAGAAUGUGUUUGACGGGAUCCACAGGGCGCUCACAAGCAAUGGCAGGUUCGACGAGGCCGCGGAGAUCGUGGAAAGGAUGAGAGGCGCUGGCCACCAGCCGGACAACAUCACUUAUAGCCAGCUGGUCUUUGGGCUGUGCAAGGCCGCCAAGUGCGAUGAAGCUCGCAAGGUGCUCGAUGAAAUGGAGGCUGAGGGUUGCACGCCGGACUUGAAGACCUGGACCAUGUUGAUCCAAGGGCACUGUGCCGCUGGGGAGGUGGACAAGGCUCUGCAGUACUUGACAGAGAUGAUCGAGAAGGACUUGGAGGCAGACGCCGAUUUGCUGGAUGUGAUGGUGAAAGGUCUGUGCAAACAAGAAAAGAUUGAUGCGGCUUACACUUUGUUUGUUGAGAUGGUGGACAAUGCCAAGUUGAACCCUUGGCAAGGCACUUACAAGCAUAUCAUUGCUGAGUUGCUGAGGGUGAAGAAACUCGAGGAGGCACUGGGCCUUCUUAAAUCAAUGAAAGCCCGCAAGUUUCCACCUUUUGCAGACCCCUUCCCUUCAAACAUCGCUGAAUACGGGACGCUUGAAGAUGCCAGGGACUUUCUCAAGGCCUUGAAAGGAUCGUCUAAUAACUAUCCGCAGCCCCCUAUCUAUGUGCAGAUGUUCAAGGCAUUCUUCGCGGAGGGGAGGUACUCAGAAGCUCAGGAUUUACUCUACAAAUGCCCCAUCCAUAUCCGCAGGCAUCAUGAUGUCACCGAGCUGUUUGAACCAAAAAAAGUUCAGGCUACUGCUUGA